GCGGGGGGGACAUCGCGUCCCUUUUGGGGACACCUGGGACGCGUGGGAGAGGCAAAGGAGGAUGCAAUAAAAACAAACUAAUUUCUUGAAGGAAUCAUAAGUAUGAAUAUUCAUAAAAGACUUAAGACAGAAGCCAUGGUAAUUUCUUCCACAAGUUUUCAUUUGAAGGAGAUAAACCCGAAGACCUGUAAUACCUGACGCUGUGUACGUGCAACAGCUACAGGAUAUUUGACUUAAAUACUGAACAACCAAAUAUAUUCCAGGAGGAGCAGCUGGAACGUUUCAAGAAAGAAUUUCCACAGUCAGCCAUUUAAAUCCAUAUCUCCACAUAAAUGUCAUGUAGUUGCCUGGAAGAGAAAUCUGUAGAUAACUUGAAGAGUGUUCAAAUGCAGAAGGAUUAAUUGCUGACAAGCUGUACCAGUUCUCUGACAAUGGGAAAUUAAGAGAGUGAUCGCAAGAUACAUAUAAAUAGAUC